GGGGCCGUAGUCUAGUGGUUAGGACUCGAGGUUUGGGGCCUCGUAACCCCGGUUCAAAUCCGGGCGGCCUCA
rnacentral:tRNA from 1 species